rnacentral:rRNA from 1 species
UACGAAGGGGGCUAGCGUUGCUCGGAAUCACUGGGCGUAAAGCGCACGUAGGCGGCUUGUUAAGUCAGGGGUGAAAUCCUGGAGCUCAACUCCAGAACUGCCUUUGAUACUGCCGUGCUUGAGGACUGGAGAGGAGACUGGAAUUUACGGUGUAGCGGUGAAAUGCGUAGAUAUCGUAAGGAAGACCAGUGGCGAAGGCGGGUCUCUGGACAGUUCCUGACGCUGAGGCACGAAGGCCAGGGGAGCAAACGGG